GCAAGGGCGGGCUGAGCACCAACGACGAGUCCGGCGGCGAGCGCGCGGCCAGGGAGGGCAUCGACAUCGACGAGUCCAAGUUCAAGACCAAGUCCUAGAUGAUCCGUUAGCCUAGCAAGCAAGAUGACUCUGCUUAGGUCGGCUGUUGGUUUGCCCUAGCGUCCACGUACCGAAUAAUGUAGUUCAGGCGCACGUAGGCGAUCGUACGUAGUAUCAUCAUGUGUGCUUCGUAACCGGUAGUCCGUAGCUACUCUACGGUGAGUAGCGUCAGGUCAAGUCGGAAGCUGUGGCUUGGUCAGGUGGCUGGUCUGCCUCUGGGCCCAGGAGUGUCUACAGUGUCCACUGUAUCCUUGCUUCUUCAGUAAUGUAUGUCGUCUUGCUCAAAUAUGUCUUGUCUCGUCUGAUCUGUGUUGAUUCCUGGUGCUACUGGGUGUAGACCUUGUUGCUCGUAGAGCUAUCACCGGCUCAGAACACCAUGAGCAGUCGCUGACUGCCAAACCAUGCAUGAACGUGUACCUUCAUGGCUUUGCUCCGCACCUGCGUCUAUACAUUUGACACGAAAGAUGAAAUACCAGAGCAGAACGAUCGAUCUCUCAGACAUGACCCAGAUGCGGGGAGCACUUGAUCAAGUCCGAGCGUUUCCGAUCCCUGCCUGUCAUGUCGCGGUUAUCGCUUGCUGUUGGUAGUGGGGGUGAUCAAGGGGGAGCCGUUGAGGAUCCUGCCCACCCGAAGCUUUCCAACGGCGGCGCGAUCGUGGACUUCAGGCCAUCUGGGAAUUUUGCAGGUUUUCAGAGGGCGGUUCCAAGCAAUGGCAAUGGACUGUCGGAGGAAGAUGGUCUACCAGUUGGAGAGGAUGCGCACAUCGGGGAUGAAGCGAACAUGGACGACGUUGCCUUUGUUGCAGUGGACUUUGAGGAGGAGGAUGAAAACAUCGAGCCGGGUUGGAAGCUGAUGAGCCUAUACAGAUCACAGAAACGGCCAAGCGCGAAGACGCUGUCGGAUCACUUUGAGAAAAUUUGGCAGCUACGUACAGGAGUUGAGUUUAAGCCCGUACAGAAAAAUUACUUUGUGGUCUUUUUUCUCUGAAGGAGACUACAGAUUCGUUGCUAGGGGAGGGCCAUGGAUAUAUGAUGGAGAUGCUUUGUUGUCAGGAUGUAAAUGGUCAGUCCGCUGAGGUUGUGGGACUGCCCGCACUGGCCACAACUUUUUAUGUGGGAUUACGUGGGAGCCCAGUUAAUUUUCAUGCGGGGCAUGUGGCGUCCACAUACUGCCGCAAUAUACAAAAGAUCACUGGAACUUCCACACUGACAUACAAAGCAUGUGGCGUCUGGAAGUAUAUACAUAUGUACAAAAAGUAUGACAAAAACAAAUGGCAGUAGAUACAAAGUGAGAAUGGAUAAUAUUAGCCCACAUUGACAUACAUAUGUAAAAAAGUAUGACAAAAACAAAUGGCAGUAGAUACAAAGUGAAAAUGGAUAAUAUUAGCCCACAUUGACAUAAUGAUCGCUACUAAUUAUCACUAGUGAGUUCGAGCUUCAUUUAGUAGUCGCCUCUAGAAUAACAAAAUCCACAAAGCAACGGCAACUUAACUAAAAACACCUAUCAAAGCAGCAGAAAUAUUUUCUGUAUGUGAACAAAAAGGAAUAUGUAAUACACUUCCCAUCCUUCAUAUCCCAAAAUUAACAGAAAGCACCUAGAGUCCUAGACUCAAAACGGCACCAAAUGAUAAAACUAUCAGCUAAGAGCAUCUUCCAUUUUUCUGUCAGCUUUCACAAAGCUAUGCUCACUGGUCUUUCACGUGAUUAAUCGGAAUCAGAAUGGUCCCAGGAUUGGCCUCAUCUUCGGUCCACUCAACUGAUUUUUUCUCCAGAAACAUCUCAACCUGCGGUCAUUCAAGUUUAUUAAUAAGUUAUAUAAGAUAUACAGUACUAUCUACAUGAAAAAGAAACAAGGAUAAGAAGUAAGCAGGGUUCCUUAAAUCAUAAGCAUACACCAGUGUGUAUUUCCCUUCCCUAAAAUGAUUGUUAAUCAACAUUGUCGAGGAGGGAAGCAAAACCAUCAAGAAUAAAAAGUGCAUAUAGCUAGCACCACAAUCUUUAAAAAAUGCAGAUAGCUAGCAACAAAUUCACAAUAGGCAAUGAUCUUAAAUUAAUAUUCUAACCAAUAAGAGUCCUUAAUGAGUAUUAUUGCGACCAGAUCUUGAUAGCAUAAUUGCAAGGAUGAUAAAUACAUACAAGUUAGCAGCAUACACAAUUUAUACUCAGAGCGCAACUCGAAACUAUGGACGUAAAAGAAACCAGAUUUAACUCAAAUGCUCCCCAAAUUUACCCAAAGCUUGCUACAAUUGAACAAUUGAUUAGCAAUAUUAUGUAGUGCACACAUACCUCAGUUAAUAGUAGUGACCUUGAUCAGGAGUAUUGGCAUGCUUACCAUUACAUCUAAACCAAUCUUGAAGGCAGAUUAAGGCUUCCACUGUCUCGCUGCACAAUCUACUUCUGUAAUCGCUGAUCAAACGCUUUCCGGUAUUGAAAGCCGACUCUGACGAUACGACGGAAGCUUGUACAACAAGAACAUCACAAGCUAUACAAGAAAGGAUGGGAUACUUAGACGAGUGAAGAUGCCACCAUUGAAGAAUGUUGAAUCCUCCGUGCGAGUGAAUGUGUCUUCUUCUAAGUAUCUGGCAAGCUCACUAGUAGAUUGGCGUUGCUUCUUAUUCAAGUGUUGGUCCCAAUCCGCCAACGGAUCAUUCUCUUCAUUCACAACCUCAUCAAAUUUUGUCGGGGUGCUGACUCAUCCAAUGCAUCCGUCAUUUGUGAAGAAUAUUCUUCGAAAAGGUUGUCAAGAACUUCUUUCACUGUAAGCAAGAGUCUUUCUACAUCUGGACCAAAAGCUUGUUUUAGUCGAAACUCGAUGAAGCAAAGUUUAAAUCGUGGACCAAGGAUCACAGGAAUACAGUUUGGCAAAUAUGAUUCCAUCCAAUACUUAUCAAACUUUUUUUGCAUCUCUCCAACCAUUGCUCGAACGACUUCAUCCUUUGUUGAAGCUUCCUUCCGCAGCAAUAACCUCACAUUCCAGAUUUGAUGAAAGUACAAAUUUGAGGUAGAAUAACUUGAACCAGAAAGUACAUUGGUUUGAAAUCCCUCCAAACAGCAGAAGUUAGCCUUCUUGUCUUGCAGACUGUUAAUUGGCAAGCAAAUAAAAUGUCAACUCACAAGAACAUUUUAAACUUGUAACUACAUACAAGUGUAAUUACAAAAGAGAAAAAACAAAGCCAACUCACCAUGUGGAUGAUUAAUUUUUGAGCCUCCAAAUGGAGUAGUCACUGGAGAAGGGGAUCCUAAGAUAGAUGGUGAUCUCGCGGACGAAUUUGCCCUCUCCUCCAAUGGGGAACUUGCAAUCCUCGUUGAGGGAGACCUGCCCCUUUUUGAGGAUGCAACUCUUGCUAGAAGACCAAGGGAAGAUCUCCACGUGCUCGCCACCGGUGACCUUACCAAUGGUGAUCUUGUCGCUCUUUGACUAUGUGUCAUAGGUGGAGAAUCUCGUCUCUAGAUAACAAAACACAGAAAGUUCAGAACAUGCUAUCAAUUUCAAGAAGGUAUAAAAGCAGAUUUGUGGUUUAGAGUGAGGUUUAAUAGAGAAAUCUGGCAAGAAAAAUGACCUGUAGCUCCUCUGUUGUAGCUCCUUGAACAAAUUCAGAACAGUUCAUUGAACGAGCAUGUUUCCUCUUCCCCUGCAACUCCUCCUCCUCCUGCAACUCCUCCUCCUGGUUUUUCCUCUUCUUCUCUUGCUUCUUCCUCUUCUCUUUCCUCUUCUCUUUCCUCUUCUCUUCCAGGCUUUUCUUUCUCGUCUUAUGCCUUCGUUUUUCCUUCCGCCUUUCUAAUCAGUAACGCAAACACAGGAGGUCAAAAAAAAUAUCAAAGAAUACAAGUAAUGUCACGGGGAAACACAUGAGGGCCGGAUACUUACUUCCGUUCCUCAUCGAUAGCAUUCCACACAUGUUGUUCCUGCUCCAUGGCUUCCCACUUUUCAGCUUGCUUGUCGAUCGUCAACACCAUUUGGUCAUCGACAUCACCCAUGGUAACUUCCAUCAAAUCUGCAUUGAAUGUCCAAUGAAUGCUAAAUUUAACUAGCAAUCAGAACAAAUGGACGCAACCGUAGAAUUGUUCUAUUUGCUUUCUUCAGACACAAUACAAGAUUUCACCAUUAACACACAAAUUUAGCAUACACCGAACUCCUAUAGCGAGUAGUUACAGAGACAUUCUAAUUCUGACCGCCAGAGCAAGAUAUACUUUGAUAUUUUUACAAUUAAUAUCUGGAAAUACAAGAAUGAUUACAAUUAAUAUUCACAUGCCAGUGUGAUAUGUAUUGUACAACUUGUUUAGAAUUUAGAGGGAUGUUUUUACAGGUGCAAUGCUCUUGCAACUAGUUUCGUACGAAUCACAACGACGUUUUGCUAGCUGCUCCUCUGACUAAUUCCUUUUUAUAGACCAUUCUACCUACUCCAAAUAAUUUCUCGGUUCAUGCAUUGAUUGUUCUGCAAAAACAUGCAUCGGGAUACCUGUGGCAGCGUGAGGAAGCUUUCAUUCAAAUCAUCAAAUGAUCGCCAGAAUCCGCAUGCUAUAUGGAAAUACCCUGUAAUGUACUUGCCUGUACACUCUUGAUAAAGUCAAUGACCACCACACCCCCCUGCCUUGGUCCCCAUAAUCGAGAAAUAUAUGGACAGCAGUAAGUAACGAAUGCUAAUCUACUAGAAGAUUGUACAGUAGUAUCGGGCAAAGAUAACCAAGAACCAUCUAAUUCGCCACUUGGAGUAGUACGUGUAUAGUCGUGUUUGCAUUGCCCACUCAUCACUACACAGCCAAAUUAGAGUAGUGCAUAGCUUGGCACUGUCCGCAUCUGUACUAGGAUCUUUUGGUCCUUCGAUCUUAACUAAGUACCACUAAAUAGUCUUUAAUUGUGCUGUUCCUCUGAUAUACAGAGAGAUUCUAAUUCUGACCACGAGAGCAAGAGAUUCGUACGAAACUAGUUGCAAGAGCAUUGCACCUGUAAAAACAUCCCUCUGAAUUCUAAACAAGUUAUACAAUACGUAUCACAUUGGCAUGUGGAUAUUAAUUUACAGUUCAUAACAAUAUAUCAAUUAACAAAGUUGCGGCCACAAGGGAGUGGACCAAGUACUAUCUCAAGUACCUAACAAAUGCCGGACGGCGGAUUCACAAUAAAUUGUAGAGAAGCUCAUCGUCUAUAGAUUCAGCAAGCUACUCACAUCCACACAUAAUAGUAAUAUCUAACAGGCUACUCACAUUCAGUAUAGCUGAUGCACAACAAAACAUGGAUCACAACUGGUGUAGCUGAUUCACAUCAAGCAAUUGAAGAAGACAUGCCUGGCCCCUUGGGGUAGAAUAGGAGGAGGGGGGAUUUUGCAUACCUUGGGGUAGAAUAGGAGGAGGCGGGGGAGCAGGGGCCGAAGAGGCCAUCACCGGGAUUGGGGAGGGAGCAGCCACGCAGGGCUCGGCUUGGUCCCCGGCUAUCCCCUUUGAUGGCGGCGGAGGAGCAGGAGCUGAAGAGGGCGUCGGCAGGAUAGGGGAGAGAGCAGAGGAGUCAUCCUCGCAAGGCUUGGCUCGGUCGCCGGCGAUGUCCUUGGACGACGGCCUCUUCGAGAAACACGACAGCGACGGUGGCUCCAUGGGAUUGGAAGCGGGAGGUGGUGCCGCACCACUGGUGCGGUGGAGAUGGCGGCGAGGGCGCCCUAGCCUAGGGCAUGGGGUGACUGGGGAAGGACGCGAAGGGGGGAUUGUGGACUACCGCUGGCUCGAUAGGCUUUUCUGGGCUAUCCACUUGCGCCGUUUAAUUUUUCUGGGUGUCCACAAAUGCCACAUAACCUUUUUUUGUGGAUGGCAUAUGUGGGACUAAUGGGACCCAGCGCCACUUACAUCCUGACUUUGUUGGUGGCUCCGUUUGUAGAAGAUGCUCAUCCGUCUGAAACUAUAAGAGCAUCUCCAACAGGCGCCGUGCCGCAAAAUCCCCCCGCGCAACCCGGCGGAUGGCUCCAGCGGGCGCGCAAUAACCGCGCGCGCGGUAUAAGCAGUUGGGCGCGCGUGGAUGCGGUUCAUCACGUGGUGUAUUUGCGGCCCCGCUUCCGCGCGCGGCACACUCGACGCUCGCGCUGCGCGCUCUUCUUCUCCCCCUCCAAAGCCCCGCGCGCGCCGGCGCCGGCGACCCGCACCCAUGGACGCACGCGCCGGCACCUCGCUCACCCCGUCCUUAGCCGCGACCCCCUCGCCCCCGCCGCCGCCACCGCCACAAACCCUAGCCCGGGUGGCGUUGGCCUCGCCGCCGCCGGGGCUCCUCUUCAUGCCGCCGCGGAUGACCUCGGCGGCGGGUGGCGUCGCGCCGGCACCGGCCCGAGCCGCCGCCCCCUCCUCCUCAAAGCUCCCCAAUGCGGCGCAGCCAAAGAUUUUAAACUUGGUUGGAUGAACUUGUGGGCAUGAUUUUAAACUUGUGGGCAUGAACUUCAUCAAUUUGUUUGUGUGAAAUUUCUAUUGUGUUGAAAAUGUUCAUCAUUUUGUGUUGAAAAAUGCCAUAUGCAAUGCACCGGCGGGUCGCGCGCGCUACAUUUUGGCGCGCUGCUGGAGCGACGCGCGCGCGCUGCAUUUUAGCGCGGCCGCUGGAGCCAGCGUUGCGCACCGCGCCAAACCAGCCGAUGCGCGCGCCGCAUAUGUGUUUUUUGCGCGCGGCGUGACCGGCGCCAGUUGGAGAUGCUCUAAUGGAUUCAGUCUAUGUGUGGGUGCGUGUCUUUGAUGUGCCUUGGAAUAAACAAACCAGGCCAUAUGGGAACGCCUUGGGUGGCACCCUGGGAGAGGUGUUGGAGGUUGAUGCUCCGGAAGUUGGACAUGGCACUAGCGAAUUUUUGAGGAUCAGAGUUAAGCUGCCAUAUAACAGGAGGUUGCAGAAGGAGGUUACUAGAAUAUACUGUCAGAGGAGUAACAAAACGAUCUACUUUUAAACUGAAGUAAGAGCGUGUACCACACUUCUGUUUCUUCUGUGGUUUUCUAGGCCAUGAUGAAGAUGUGAGUGAGAAGAAGAGGCUUGGGCUGCCAUCUAAAGCCUAUGAUUCCACGCUCCGUUGUUCCCCGUUUAAGAAGUAUGAGCAAAGACCAGCAUAUACAGCGUCGCCGGGCCAGCCAAGGGCGCGCCGUGUGUUGGACUUUUCCUUGGGCCGUGCUGGUUCUACUACACGGCAAUCCGCUUCUUCUUCAGCGAGAAGUGAGUCUAGACAUAAUCCAUUUAUACCAGAUAGGGUUGAUGCCCAUGAUGGGUUUGAGAACAGAGAAGGAUCAGGUGAGACGGCGGCUGUUAUUCAGCUUGCAGAUGAGGUGGAGGCGCUCCGUCUGAGGCUGGCCAAAGAGAAACCAGAGUGCAGUCAAUCUCACCGGAUAAAGAUUCAUUUUGAAGCAAAAGCUAUGUACAAACAGACUGAACUACAACCCAAAUCUCACAAGAAGAGAAGUACUGGUAAGAAAGUUGUGGCAGCAAGGACGCCAGGCACUCUAGUUAUCAAGGAAAAAGAACCUACUUCGGAUGUCAUGAAUCCAACAUUACGGGGUGUUGAUUUUUUGGAUAAAUCUUUUGGUACAGCGGUGGACUUGAUGGUAUACAAUGAUUCCAUCUUGGGAAAACGUCAUGUUGCAGGAUUGUUUGGUUAUGGGCAGGAUGCGCAACUUGACAAAGCUAUGGUGCCGUUCGUUGAUGUUCCAACAGGAGGUAGUCUGAAGAAAGGGAAAAUUGAAGGUCAACAGCAAGAGGAGGAAGUAACCAGCAAAGGGAGUGAGGUGGACAUGGAGGCAGCUGGCCUAGCUAGGGGCCGCCAGUGAUCUGACGGGGCCUUUAGCGCCCCGUCAGACGCAAUGAAUUGCUUAAGUUGGAACUGUUGAGGGGCGGGGAACCUUCGCACAGUUCGUGAUCUUGUAGCACUUGUGGGUGCUCAUUCCCCAAAAGUGGUCUUUCUGUGUGAAACUAGACAACCAAAAGAAAAGAUGUAUCGUCUUCGUAAUCGUUUAGGCUUAGUUGGUUUUGAAGGAGUUAGUAGUGAUGGUCGUAGUGGUGGUCUAGCUUUAUUUUGGCACGAGUUUGUAUCCCUGGUUGUUCAAGAGGCUAAAAAUAGAUGGAUUGAUGCUUAUGUCCGCUUGUCACCUGAUGAUCCUUUGUGGUGUGUCACCUUUGUGUCUGGCGAGCCACGAGUGGAAAAUAGACAUUUUAUGUGGGACUCUUUGAGGAGGUUGUCAAGACACAGUACACUUUCAUGGAUGUUAGUUGGCGACUUUAAUGAAGCUAUGUGGGAUUAUGAACACAUGUCAGAAACACCAAGGGCACCGGGUCAGAUGUUGAGUUUCAGAGAUGCUUUGGAAACAUGUGCGCUGAUUGAUAUGGGCUUCAUGGGUUAUCCCUUUACCUAUGAUAAUAGGCGGGGUGGUAGAGCCAAUGUUCAGGUGAGAUUGGACAGAGCAGUGGCCACUAAUACUUGGAGGGAUAUGUUUGCUGAUGCUGUUGUACGUCACCUGGUCUCACUGGCGUCAGACCAUUGUCCAGUGUUGGUCUCAUGUAUUUUGGAUACGGCCCCUCGGCCGGGCCGAUGUCGCCGUUAUGAAUUGAUGUGGGAAAGAGAUCAUGCUCUUAAUGAGGUAGUGGCGGAAGCAUGGGGUGCAGCAGGAACUAAAAGAAACUUAAGUGAUGUUCAAAAGGCUCUCGGCCAGGUGAUGGGUAAGUUGCAUACUUGGAGUACUAAAAAAUUUGGGAAUGUUACAAGACAACUUGAGAAAUCUAGAUCAAGAUUGGAGGAACUGAUGCUUAUGAAUGCGGACAGGGCAGAUAUUAGGAAGCACAUGGACGAAAUGAAUGAACUUUUAUUUAGGGAGGAGAUGUUGUCGUUACAGCGCUCGCGCAUUGCUUGGCUCAAGGAGGGGGGCAGGAACACUAAGUUUUUUCACAGAAAAGCGGUGUGGCGAGCCAGAAAGAAUGCAGUAUGAGGACUAUUGGAUGCUAAUGAUGUUUGGCAAACUAAUAAAAACGUGAUGUUGGAUAUGGCCCGUACCCAUUUUAUGCAAGUAUUUACAGUUGAUCCGAACGUCAACCCAGAAGAAGUAGUGAAUCUAUUCCAAGCUAAAAUAACGGAUGAUAUGAAUACUGCUCUUUGUGCUCCAUUCACAGAUAAGGAAAUAGGCGAUGCGUUGUUCCAGAUUGGGCCACUAAAAACCCCAGGUCCAGACGGAUUUCCAGCUUGAUUUUUUCAGCGGAAUUGGGCUUUAAUGAAAGAGGAUGUAAUGGUGGCUGUCAGGUUGUUCUUUGAGACUGGACACAUGCCGGAUGAGGUAAACUCAACUACUAUUGUGCUUAUUCCUAAGGUUGCGAAUCCAAAGAAGCUAAAUGAGUUCAGACCAAUCAGUCUAUGUAGCGUAGUUUACAAGGUCAUCUCCAAGUGUCUGGUAAAUCGUUUGAGACCUCUCCUUGAUGUUAUUGUUGCUCCUGAGCAGAGCGCCUUCAUCCCUGGUAGACUUAUUACAGAUAAUGCUUUCAUAGCUUUUGAGUGUAUGCAUACAAUCAAACAGGAAAGGAAUCAGGAGAAUAGUUUUUGUGCUUACAAGCUGGACCUAUCAAAGGCAUAUGACAGGGUAGACUGGAAUUUCCUGGAGCGAAUGAUGCAAUAGUUGGGUUUUCAUCACCGGUGGAUACAGUGGAUUAUGGCGUGUGUAACCUCGGUGAGAUAUAGCGUUAAACUAAAUGGAGCUAUCUCAGAUUCGUUCGCACCGUCGCGUGGACUUAGGCAGGGUGACCCUCUAUCCCCGUUUUUGUUUUUGUUCAUAGCUGAUGGACUUGAUGCUAUUUUGAAACAGAAGGUCAGACAAGGAAGGAUUUCUCCUAUUCAUGUGUGUCCAAGGGCGCCAGGUAUCUCACACCUCCUAUUCGCAGACGACACAUUAAUGUUUUUCCGUGCUACUCAGGAAGAAGCUACCCAGGUGGGAGAUGCACUGGCUAUUUAUGAGCGCAUCACGGGACAAUUCAUUAACCCGGCAAAAUGUUCUAUUUUAUUUGGCCCAUGUUGUGGUGACAACGACAAGCAUGAGGUUGUGCAUACCUUGCAGGUUCAGACGGUGGGAUUUGACGAUAAGUAUCUCAGUCUCCCCACACCAUCUGGUAGAAUGUCGAAGAGCAAGUUUCAAAAUCUACAAGAGCAACUUACUAAGCGUAUCUUACAGUGGGGAGAAGCGCCGUCAUAAGGGGGCAAAGAAAUUUUCAUUAAGGCGGUUGCACAGUCCCUACCUACAUAUAUCAUGGGGAUUUUUCGUUUGCCCCAGAGUGUUUGUGAUGAUCUUACUCGCAUGGUACGCAAUUUUUGGUGGGGGGCCAAGGAGGGGAAGAGGAAGACACAUUGGCAUGCAUGGGAUACAUUGAUUAAACCGAAAGUGCAAGGCGGCAUGGGGUUCCGUGAUUUCAGACUCUUCAAUCAGGCACUUUUGGCUAGACAAGCUUGGCGUCUUAUUGCUUACCCUGACAGUUUAUAUGCUCAGGUGCUCAAAGCAAGAUAUUACCCGGCGGGACGUCUGGAAGAUACGGUCUUUUCGGACAACUCAUCCCAGACGUGGCAGUCUAUUGUCCACGGUCUUGAGCUUCUCAAGAAAGGUCUAAUUUGGCGCAUUGGUGAUGGAGCUUCUGUACGUAUUUGGCGUGACCAGUGGAUACCACAUCCACUUGCGAGGUUGCCAAUAUCACCCAAGGGGCGCUGCCGCCUUCGGCGUGUUAGCGAGCUCCUGGACGACCGAGGAAAUUGGAACGUGCAACUACUUAAUCAACAUUUCAUGUCAGUAGAUGUCAUGGAAAUUAUGAAGAUCAAGGUGGUGCCACGGUUGGACAGAGAUAUUAUCGCUUGGGCGCCCGAGCGUUCUGGAUCGUUCACAGUCCGGAGUGCUUAUCGUCUAUCAUAUGAUGAGAUUCACCGUCAGACUACAGUCGCAUCGAGUAGGGCACCGGACGGGCGACGUGCCGUUUGGGCACUUAUAUGGAGGUGCCCUGCUCCACCAAAGGUGCGUAUCUUUGCAUGGCGUUUGGUCACAAAUUCACUGGCUACUUGGGUGAAUAAAAAAUCACGGAAACUUGAGGUGUCUAACCUUUGUCCGUUGUGUGCGAUGGAACCGGAGGAUACGUUCCAUACAUUCUAUAGAUGCACAUUGGCUGUUGCUUCGUGGAACGCACUUAGCUUCAAUGAGGAAUACAGGCCCUGAGUGGCUUUUUGAUCUUCUGUAUAAGCUAAAUGAAGACGAUCGCAUGCAUGUGUUGAUGGUGCUGUGGAGGAGUUGGUAUGUACGUAAUGAAAUAGUACACCAGAAGCUUCCUGUAGAUUUCUAUUUAGCUAUGCUGAAUCUCUUCGAUGCAUCAAUCAUUUUCCAACCACUAACAUCAUCAAAGGGAAGAUGGUGCCGCCGGCGAUUGGGUAUAGUUCUACAAUGAUAAAUACAGCAACGCAACAUGCAGCCACAGUCCAGUGGUCUGCCCCGCCGGCCGGUCGCGUGAAGCUGAAUGUUGACGGGUCGUUCGUUGAUACCGAUGGUGGAUUAGCAGGAGCCGGUAUGAUCCUACGUGAUAAUGAUGGCAACAUUAUCUUCUCCGCUUGUCGUUCUAUCUUGCAUUGUUCCGGACCGCUCCAGGCUGAGUUGUUGGCAUGUCGGGAGGGAUUAAGCCUUGCUCUACAAUGGUCUACUCGCCUGGUAGACAUCGAGAUGGACUGCAUGGAUGCAGUUGAUCAAGUCGCCUACCCUUGACAGAUCGCCACAUAGAAUGAUAGUUCAGGAUAUUAAAAGGCUCUUUGGUGAAAGGGAUAUCUCUAUUGCUCAUGUAAGUAGGAAUCAGAACGUUGUUAGCCACACACUUGCUGCUUUCGGACGAUCGGAGGGCCGAACUGCAGUUUGGUUGCGUUUUGGACCUGCAGACGUUCCUCUGCUAUGUAGAAACGAAUAUUCCAACAGUUGAGCAAUGAAAUCAUUUUAACCCCACAAAAAAAAAGUCCGGGAGUUCGCUAAUGCACGAACCGGGGGAGCUGCAGCCACCACGUUCACUCGCCGUCCUCGAGGUACCGGACUCCGAAUACUCGUCUCAGCAGGUUUUUCCGAAGGUUUUUGCUUCAGACAUCUAACCUGAAGAAAAUACACACUGAACGCGUGGACGAGACGGUUUUUUCUUGGGACAUCUAACCUGAAGAAAAUGCAGAUUGAACGCGUGGACGAGACUGAAAGUGCCUUCCGUAAGAGAUGGUACCUCUGCACUAGAUAUUAUUGAAGCAUCUCAUUGAGUACUCGAAAUUGAGGCAGACACAUCAUGAAAUACACCGUACGUGCUUGUAAGUUGUAACAAAGCAGGACACGAAUUUUUGGAAUUUUUGGAACUAGAGUCCACACGUAUCCCUUAUGAAUAGUAACAAAAACCAAGACGUAAUAAAAAAAUAUUAACAAAUGGUCUGUGAAGUUCCUUAAUCUAGAUGAUAUUUGCUGUGGGAAUUGGUUAUAAUAUAUUUUAUAUGAGAUUUGGUUGUACAAAGCAUGAGUAGUUUGAGUUAUAAAUGGCUAAAACCAAAAGUAUAUAUUAUAUAUUGUAUUUGAUUAUUAUAUAAUUAUAUAAAUUGUGUAUUGGAUGUAAGUAGCAUAAUAUAGUGGGCUUUUUUUGCCAUGCAUGUUAUGACGUACCUUUGAUGAAAUGGCAUGUGUAUAUGUUGAGGUAAAUAGAAACAAUGUGGAUCAACUAAUAAUGAAAAAUGUGGCGUGUGUACAUGUUGAGGUAAAUGAAAACAAUGUGGAUCAAUUAAUAAUGAAAAAUGUUUUUCCAUGCAUGUAGAGGUGUUCUUUGAUGAGAUGGCAUGUGUGCAUAUUGAGAUAAAUAAAGUAGUGUGGAUCACCCACUUAACUAGGAUAAAUAAGGUAUUGCUACAAAGGAAAAAAGUGCCCCUGAUAUUCCUCAAAAACAGCACAUACGAGUAGAACAGUUGACCAGUUUUAUUAACCUUAGAAUUUAAAUUCUCUUAUUAUUAUUAUUUCAAAAAAAUUAUAUGUAUUGUCAUCAUAAGAGGGGUGCUUAGACCCAUGCUCACUACUAUUGUACUUUAACAUAAUAACUCAUAUCUUCCUUUAUACUAAUAAGAGAGAGAAUGAUAAAAUUGUGCAUAAAAAAAUAAUUCUGUUCUGUGUCCAAAAUUACGAUGACAAUUAUCUGGCACUAUGUCCCUGCGAUCGGGUCUACAUCAUGUACGCCCUAAUAAGUACAACUGUCAUCUUCUGCAUUUCCUCUCAAUAGUUGUAGACCAUCUGCCUAUUCGACCAAAACAUCCUGUUUAUUAGACAAGGGUUUUAGGGUUUUUGGCACACCUCCAAACGUGGGGUGACCUUUUCAUUAUAUAGUGAUGUACAACAUAAUUACAAGUGGGGCCCAGUAUAUACAGAGUCUAACACCCUCCCUCAAUCUUAACCGUGCUCAAAAGAAUUUACUAGGUUGAGAUUGCGCCUACACCCUUCAAACUGAGGAAGAGGCAGUGGCUUCGUGAAGAUGUCAGCAAGUUGAUCUUUCGAGGAGAUGAACUUGAUAAGAAGCAGUUUCUGGGCAACACGUUCCCUGACAAAGUGGUAAUCAACUUCAAUGUGUUUGGUGCGAGCAUGAAAAACUGGAUUUGAAGACAAAUACGUCGCCCCAAUAUUAUCACACCAAAGCACCGGCGGCUGCUUCUGAGGAACCUUCGACUCUUUGAGCAAAAACUGUAUCCAAAUAAGCUCUGCUGUGGCAUUUGCAACUGCUUUGUACUCAGCUUCAGUGCUACUGCGAGACACCGUUGCUUGUUUACGAGCACUCCAGGCGAUCAAGUUCGAACCAAGGAAGACUGCAUAUCCCCCCGUGGAUCGUCUGUCAUCCGGACUCCCAGCCCAGUCCGCAUCAGAGAACGCAGAGAGAACGCCAGAGGGGGCCGGUUGCAGAUGCAAGCCAUAAGAAGAAGUGGACCGGAUGUAACGCAAAAUGCGCUUAACUGCAGCCCAGUGAGAGUCUCGAGGAGCAUGAAGAAACUGGCAGACCCGGUUGACCGCAUAGGAGAUAUCAGGACGAGUGAUAGUCAAGUACUGCAAGCCACCAACAAUACUGCAAUACUCAGUAGCCUCAUCAGCAGGGAGGAGAGAACCAUCGAGAGCAGAUAGGCGGUCAGUGGAGGACAUAGGUGUAGUAGCUGGCUUGCACUGGAGCAUACCAGACUUCCGAAGAAUAUCAAGAGAAUACUUCUGCUGAGUGAGAGUCAAGCCAGAACCAGAAGACAAUACUUCAAGGCCAAGGAAAUAGUGAAGCUGCCCAAGAUCCUUAACCGCAAAGUCAGCACUCAAAGCAGAAACCAAGCGAUCCCAGCAUAGUCUGAGGAACUGACCACGAUGAUAUCGUCAACAUAGACCAGUAGAUACAUAGUAACUGUAGGUCGCUGAAGAAGAAAUAACGAGGUAUCGGCCAGAGAGGGAACAAAUCCAUGAGCCCGAAGAGUGGUGCCAAGACGCGCAUGCCAAGCGCGCGGAGCCUGCUUCAGACCAUAGAGUGCCUUAACAAGACAACAGAGAUGCUGCGGACGAGCUGGAUCGACAAAACCGGGAGGCUGACACAUAUAAACCUCCUCCUCAAGAACACCAUGAAGGAAAGCAUUCUGAACAUCAAGCUGACGAAGAGACCAUCCACGGGUAAUUGCCAGUGAGAGCAGAAGCCGAAUCGUGGUCGGUUUGACCACUGAACUGAAGGUGUCCUCAUAAUCAAGGCCAAGGCAUUGUUUGAAUCCUCGAGCAACCAGUCGAGCCUUGUAUCUCUCGAUAGAACCAUCAGCAUGUUUCUUUACCUUGAAGACCCACUUUGAGUCAAUGAUGUUGACACCAGCCUUUGAAGGAAUCAGUCGCCACAUUUCAUUCUUAAGAAGAGCGUGGUAUUCUUGUUCCAUCGCAGUACGCCAGUGAGGGAUACUCAGGGCAGCCUGAAAAUGUCGAGGCUCAGCAGUAGGGUCGGACUGCACCUGCGCCAUGCAAGUCGCAAGCCAGGCCACCGUGCCAUCCUUGCGUUCCUUAGGACGAAACACCCCACUUUUGCUGCGUGUAUGAGGACGCAACACCGGGGGCGGAGCAGGUGGCGAAACCGAUGGUGAGGAUGAUGAAGGGGACACAUCAUCCGUCAUGGCAGAGGCUGAUGCAGUCGGUGGCGGUGACGAAGAAGACACAGCAGGAGACGCCGACCCACUCGAGGGCGAUGCCGAUCCAGACGAGCAGGACAAGUGCCGCACAGGCAACGAGGAUGACGCGGAACUCCCAGGCGACGACGGCCCAGGCGUUGAUGGCGGGGGACUCCCAGGCGGGGACGGCCCAUGCGUCCGUGCAGGUGACGGCCCAGGCGUCGAUGGCGAGGACGCCGGUGCAGACGUGACGGCUCACUGGGCCGAUGCGCCAGUCAGCAGAAGCGGCGGCUGGGCCAGAGUGGUGACGCGCGGUGCAGCAGCCGCGAUCACGGGCACAGGCGGGCUCGUUGCAUGGGACAUGCACGAAGCCAGCCGAUCGACCUGAGCAGGUGGUGAUGACGGAGCCGUCGGGGACGAGGGAGCCGGAGUGUCAACCUCAUCCAGGAGCUCAAGCUGCACACAUCUCCCAAUACCUGCACCAUGGUUAAACAACAAAGAGGGCGAAUGUGCAGCAUCUACAAAUUGAUCAGGCAAUAUAGUGGAUGGGUGCACUGGCGGUGUCGAGCUUGUGUCAGGUGAGGGAAGAGCAGCAAAGAGAAAAGCAUGCUCAUCAAAAACAACAUCGCGGGAGAUAUACACACGAUUAGACAGGACAUGAAGGCACUUAUACCCUUUGUGAACAGAACUAUACCCCAGAAAGACACACUUCUUUGAUCGGAACUCAAGCUUGCGAUUAUUAUACGGACGGAGAUGCGGCCAACACGCACAACUGAACACUUUAAGAAACUUGUAAUCAGGAGUCUGACCAAGCAAGAGUUCAAGUGGAGUUUUCAUAUGAAGGAGCCGCGAAGGAAGCCUAUUUAUAAGAAAACAGGCUGUAGUAAAAGCAUCGCUCCAAAAACGAAACGGGACAGAGGCAUGAGCAAGCAAGGUUAACCCAGUUUCAACAAUAUGACGGUGCUUACGUUCAGCUAAACCAUUCUGCUGAUGUGUAUGUGGGAAAGAAACACGAUGAGCAAUUCCAAGUUUUUCAAAGAAAGUACUGAGGUUGCGGUAUUCACCCCCCCCCCCCUAGUCUGACUGGACGUGAAUGAUUUUAUGAUCUAGGAGUCUCUCAACAUGUGCUUGAAAUUGUAAAAACACAUUAAACACAUCAGACUUAUGCUUAAGAAGAUAAAUCCAGGUAAAGCGACUAUAAGCAUCAAUGAAACUGACAUAAUAUUCGUGCCCACUAACGGACCACUGGGCAGGACCCCAUACAUCUGAAAACACAAGCUCAAGAGGAGUUUUGACUAUAUGUAUAGAAACAGAAAAAGGUAACUGAUGACUCUUGCCUUGCUGGCAGGCAUCACAGACAGCGGCAUCUUUAUUACUAGACUCGGACGGUAGCUCAUGACGAUGGAGGACAUGGCAAACAAUGGGAGAUGCUGGGUGACCAAGACGAGAGUGCCAUAGUGAUGGAGACACACGAACGCCACUGAAGACUUGGAAGGCAGCAGCAGGAGCGGGAACGUUGGUGGGGGCAUCAAGAGCAUAGAGACCAUGGCGGUAGCGACCUCUAAGAAGUAUGUUCCUCGUAGCACGAUCCUUAACAAAGAGAUGAAACGGAUAAAACUCACAGAAAACAUUAUUAUCAUGUGUAAGUUUAGGAACAGAGAGUAAAUUACGUGCAACUGUGGGAACACGAAGAACAUUUCUAAGAUGCAAUGUCCUAGAGGAGUUUGUGAGAAGUGAUGCCUGACCAACAUGCGAAAUGUGCAUACCUGCCCCGUUAGCCGUGUGAACCUUGUCAUGCCCACGGUAAGGCUGCUGGACAGUUAGCUUGCCCAGCUCGUUCGUUACGUGCGUGGUUGCUCCAGUAUCCAUGUACCAAGAAGGAUCAAUAGGAUAAGAAGGGGUGUGACCCUGUUGCGCCAUGUUAACUUGACGCUCGUUGCCCUUGCCAUUAUUGCCGAGGCCAAGGAAGUCCGUCUUGAACCGGCGAUGACAGCGAGAGGCGACAUGGCGAGGCAGGCCACAGAGCUGACAUGGCUGAGCCGCACCACAGGCGGUACAGCAGGCGCAGGCGCGGCCGUCAACGACGACUACCGGGGCACCAGGACGCGGGGCCUGCUGCUGUUGUGCCGAGGACGCACCUCCACCGGACUUGCCCCCUCCUCCCGAGGAAGCUGCAGAGGGGCACGGCCACCGCCUUUGCCGUGGUACACGGCGUUGACGGAGGAGUCGAUGGAGACAUCGGGGCGGCGUGCGUUGAGCCGUUGCUCCGUUGACAAGAGACGGCUGUAGAGUUCCUGAGGACGAAGAGGCUCCUUGCGUUCAUUAAUCACCUCGGCAAGCGAGUCGUAGUCGCUGUCGAGGCCGGCUAGGAUGAAGGAUGUGAACUCGCUGUCACGAAGGGGCUCUCCAAUGGAAGCAAGAGUGUCAGCCAACUUCUUGAUCUUGUUGUAGAAGGUGAUCACCGUACCAUUGUCCUUGCGAGUUUCACCAAGCUUGGCACGGAUGGCCAUGGAUUGAGCAGUAGACUGAGACGAGAAACUCGACUCCAGUAUGUCCCACACCUCAUGAGAGGACGAAGCAAAGAGGACGAGCCCGGCCACACCCUCACCCAGAGAAGACUGGAUGGCUGAGAGGAUGGCUUGGUCCUGAGCGAUCCACGCACGGAACAUCGGAUGAUAUGGCAGUGGACAUGGCAGUGUACCGUUGAGGAACCCCUCCAAGUAAUGGCUGCGAAGGAGAGGAAGCACCUGAGCACGCCAAUAUAGAUAAUUGUCCGGUUUAAGCUUCACCAGGAGGAGGUGGGAGAAUAAAAACGGCGGCGAGGAGAUCGCGGCCAGAGCAGCUUCAGCACCCACGUAUGGCGUCGGAGAGGGCAUUGGUGCAGAUUGCGCCGCAACCGUUGCGUACAGGUGCGAGGGGCCGUACGGGUAGGGCGCCCCAUAGGGCGGCGGAGCCGGGUACGCGCCCUGGCCAGGGUACACACCAUAGGAGGGAUGCGCAGGUGGCGACGGGCCGUACGGCGCCGCGUACAGUGGGUAGCCGCCGUGAUUGGCAUGGGCGGCAUCGGCAAUAGUAGGGCCGACUGCGGUGUAGAUGGAGGCAACCGGAGCAGGUGCGAUCGCACGCAUCGGGUGUGACGCGGUAGGUGGUGGCGGCGCAGGCACAAGGGAGUGCACGGCAGCCGGCGGCGGCGACAGUUGCUGGGACCGGGCCGAAGCAGCAGGCGAUGAAGAGGAGACGACGGCGUACAGCGAAGACACCGGGUCGGCGAAGAGAGACCCCGCCGAUUAGGUCUGCAGGUGGCCGAGCGAUCCGUCCGCCGUGUAGGGCGCAGUCCCGACGUUGAGGAGACGCGCGAGGAACGGCGGGAGGAACAAGUGAUCCAUGUGAACGGGGGCCGGCGGCAGAAGGGCGGGGAAGGAAACCGCGGUGCCGGCGGCGCUUGAGGCAGCGGCGGCGGCGGCUGGUGGCGGAGGCGGAGCGGAAGACAUUAGAUCGUUAGGUCGGAUACCAUAUUAGACAAGGUUUUAGGGUUUUUGGCACACCUCCAAACGUGGAGUGACCUUUUCAUUAUAUAGUGAUGUACAAUAUAAUUACAAAUGGGGCCUGUAUAUACAGAGUCUAACACUGUUUGACUUCAAGUAUGUUCGCUAUGGUUGCAAUGGCUAGUCGCUAGGGAAAUAAUCUUUUUUGCAUGGGGGAAGGAUUUUGUAUUAAUUAACUUAGCUCAAGAUUACCCAGUGCACAUAGUUUUACGACUCCCUCAGGACCGGACCGUAACCGGACGGACGCCUUAAUCUUAACUCUCCCGAUCUGAGCUAAUUCAUGACUAACACGAUUAUUGCCCCUUUUAGUAGGCUGGAUCUUAAUUUCUCUCUCCCCUCUCAUCAUAGUUGUGAUCUAUCAACCGAGGGGUUGGAUAUCAUUGCAGCAACUUUAGCACUAUCCGUUUCAACGAUGAACAGAAGUGAGCUCCAUUCCAAAGCAAGAGCAAUUCCCUCCUUGCACGCCGCGAGUUAUGUAGUUAGAGCAUUACCGCGUGUGAAGAGAUGUCGACACGAGCUGGAAAUAAUGCUACCAGAGCUGUCUCGUGUCUCGGAGCACCAUUCACGUGCCUACAUUGCCUGCAUGUGCUAUUCACCAUCCACGUUUAGUGUGAGCCACCCCAGCUUAGACGCUCUCCAGCUCUUAGGCUAGUCAUAGUGGAGAGUAUAUGUUACUAGUCUAUGUUAUUAUCUUUAUAUUGGGUAGUGUCAUAUAUGCGGUAACAUAGAUACCUUCAUUUAUUACUUUGUAGACUUAUUUUGCAUUAGAAAGCGUUAUGUGAUGGUAACAUAUUAUGUUACUCUAUUUGACCAUUUUACCUUUUUCUCGGUCUGCCGUGGUCAUCAAGAGUGCCAUGCGAGAUGUGCCUGAGAGCAGCUCAACCACGGCAAAGAGCCAUCCGGGCAUGUGUGCCGCACCGGCUUAAUGUCCCGGAGCAUCCAAUCUUUAGUCAUCGCCCUCCAAAGCUCGACUGCAUGAGGGCACUUACACAUUGCGUGGAAUUCAUCCUCGCUUUCCAGACCACACAGGGAGCAUAUGUCAGUGGUUUUCAAAUGAUAGGAGAGUUUAUUCACCCACGCUUGCAAGAGAAUUUGUGACAAGCCGCCAAGCAAACACACGUACCUUUGGGGGACCUGAUGGCGCGUCAACCAUCCGGUGCCAUGGCAAUAACCAACAGGCCAAAGAUGACAACAAACAAUGGCGUGGAGCACAGAUAAACUGGCGUGGCUACUAGAUGGUCCGUCAUCAAAAUAAUGAUUGGAACACCACUUCAUAUCCAAGGUGAAAACUACUAUUCUGGCCUUCAUUCAUUGGUUAGGCUCAGCAACGUUGAACUUGCGCUGUUACCUUAUCAAAGGUGUUACCUUGUUGCUAUUGUGCUAGUCUUCAAUGGUUAGUUUUGGCAACAAGAAUGAAAAUCCUCGUCUUGUUUGUCUUCCACCGGACGUGACCACAGCGAUGUGAGAGCGCUUAUUUCUUGAAAGAAGUCAGAUUAGUCAUAGAUGUUUGUUCUAUACAUUUCAUAAUGACUAAGCCGUGUUUGUCUUUUUCUAACUCUGCUUAAUAAUUAAUAAGAAUAAUUAUGUACAUUAUGAUGAUGCAGAGGCAAGAGUUUAACCUUUUUUGUUUGAAAAAAAUAGCAGUAGACGCUCGAUCCAUGUCUGGUUUGUACGACCGGCCGACGACGAACACACGUACGGUAGUGACAAGUACGGUAGUGGGACGAUCCUACGCGCCGACAGGACGACAGUGCCAAGACAACGCUAGGCUCCUCAGCUCUCUAGCUCAUUCCGGUGGCUGCGUCAGAUAAGCACGCCCGGACGUGGCAUCCGUCCGGUGCCUCGCCCAACGCGUGUCAAUGCGUCAGGGACAGCAAGAGGAGAGGCUUGCGUCCGCGUCGUCGCACACGCGCCGUCUCCUGCGCCCGCGACGCGCCUCCUCGCCGGCUAUAAAAUGGCGACGUCGCUACCUCCUCCAUCACCAGCAUCAAACAAGCAACCACAAGCACCGCACAAGCUGAAGCGGUAGAGCACACACGCUCCCUUCCAGUUGAGGUCGAAGUAGCUAGCGAGGAGUGAGCGAUGGCCUCCGGUCAGCAGGAGAGGUCGCAGCUGGACCGCAAGGCCCGCGAGGGCGAGACCGUCGUCCCCGGCGGUACCGGCGGCACCAACCUCCAGGCGCAGGAGAACCUCGCCGAAGGUACGUAGCAAUGCACGUCGACCUUAUGUGUUGGUGGCUUCGGCUACUCAUGUCGUGUCUACGGUGUUGGCAGGGCGCAGCCGCGGCGGGCAGACGCGCAAGGAGCAGAUGGGGGAGGAGGGGUACCGCGAGAUGGGGCGCAAGGGCGGGCUGAGCACCAACGACGAGUCCGGCGGCGAGCGCGCCGCCAGGGAGGGCAUCGACAUCGACGAGUCCAAGUUCAAGACCAAGUCCUAGAUGAUCCGUUAGCCUAGCAAGCAAGACGACUGCUUAGUUGGUUGGUUUACCUUGCAGGAUGAAUAAUGUAGGUCAGGGAUCCUGACGUGUGCACGCAUGUAGGAGAUCAUAUGUACUAGAUCAUGUGUGCUUGGUGGUUAAUAGUAGCCGGUAGUCCGUACUAGGUACUGAUGGUCAGUCAGAGUCGUGUGUCCGUGUCAGUCGGAAGUGUGGUUGUGGCUCCGGCGGCUGGUCCGGCCUCUCUUCCCACCAGCUUUCCGCUGUAUCCUUGUGUUUCCAGUAAUGUAAGUCGUCGUUGCUGAAAUCUGAAGCUUUGUAGUGUGCUACUUCUGCUUUGCUAAUUGUUGGUGUUCCCGGUUUUUUAUUGUUUACCGUAAAACCUCUCCUGAACGAGAACUCUACGUGCCGCAUCA
rnacentral:lncRNA from 1 species